rnacentral:rRNA from 1 species
GGAGGACCCUAGAGAUCGCAAGACCUUGCGCUCAUUGAGCGGCCGACGUCUGAUUAGCUAAUUGGUGAGGGAAAGGCUUACCAAGGCGACGAUCAGUAGCUGGUCUGAGAGGACGACCAGCCACACUGGGACUGAGACACGGCCCAGACUCCUACGGGAGGCAGCAGUGGGGAAUUUUGGACAAUGGGGGAAACCCUGAUCCAGCCAUGCCGCAUGAGUGAAGAAGGCCUUCGGGUUGUAAAGCUCUUUCAGCCGGAACGAAACGGUCACGGCUAAUACCUGUGACUACUGACGGUACCGGAAGAAGAAGCACCGGCUAACUACGUGCCAGCAGCCGCGGUAUUACGUAGGGUGCGAGCGUUAAUCGGAAUUACUGGGCGUAAAGCGUGCGCAGGCGGUUUUGUAAGUCAGAUGUGAAAUCCCCGGGCUUAACCUGGGAACUGCGUUUGAAACUACAAGGCUAGAAGGG